UAUCAUGGUGAAGGUAAGGUAACGCUGUGAUUCUUGCUCAAAAAACAGACCGAACGCGUUCGAGUUAUUGGCUCGUCCGACCCGGCAGCAUUCAUGAGUCGCUCGUUCAACUGUCCCUCGGAGACACGGUCGAGAAGUACCAUGCAUGGUUGCCCCCCGUCCUUUCUUUCUCUCGGUCCCACCCAACAAGAUACGGCUCAGACAAAAAACGUGAGCGCCCCUCCGCAAGCCUUAUUUUUUUAGUAA
rnacentral:misc_RNA from 1 species